UUUCCAGCGAUUUGUCAGAUUACAAAAUUACCAGCCUGACGAAAAAAGACAUGGAACACUUGACACAUUUGCGUCAACUGUUACUAUCCAGGAACAAACUGCAAAACGUCGAGGAAGGGACUUUUGAAUCGCUGACAGAUUUACAAACAUUACGAAUGAUUGCCUGUGAUU